rnacentral:rRNA from 1 species
CUGGGAACUGCAUUUGAAACUGUUUAACUAGAGUAUGGUAGAGGUAAGUGGAAUUUCUGGUGUAGCGGUGAAAUGCGUAGAUAUCAGAAGGAACACCAAUGGCGAAGGCAGCUUACUGGACCAAUACUGACGCUGAGGUACGAAAGCGUGGGGAGCAAACAGGAUUAGAUACCCUGGUAGUCCACGCCGUAAACGAUGAUAACUAGACGUUGGGGGGAUUGACCCUUUAGUGGCGAAGCUAACGCAUUAAGUUCUCCGCCUGGGGAGUACGGCCGCAAGGUUAAAACUCAAAUGAAUUGACGG